rnacentral:tRNA from 1 species
GGGCGGUUGGCGCAGCUGGAAGCGCGUCUGACUUACAUUCAGAAGGUCACAGGUUCGAGCCCUGUACCGCCCACCA